UAAUACGAAGGUGGCAAGCGUUGUUCGGAUUCACUGGGCGUACAGGGUGUGUAGGCGGUUUGGUAAGCCUUCUGUUAAAGCUUCGGGUCCAACCCGGAAAGCGCAGAGGGUACUGCCAGGCUAGAGGGUGGGAGAGGAGCGCGGAAUUCCCGGUGUAGCGGUGAAAUGCGUAGAGAUCGGGAGGAAGGCCGGUGGCGAAGGCGGCGCUCUGGAACAUACCUGACGCUGAGACACGAAAGCGUGGGGAGCAAACAGGAUUAGAUACCCUGGUAGUCCACGCCCUAAACUAUGGAUACUAAGUGUCGGCGGGUUACCGCCGGUGCCGCAGCUAACGCAUUAAGUAUCCCGCCUGGGAAGUACGGCCGCAAGGUU
rnacentral:rRNA from 1 species